rnacentral:rRNA from 1 species
GACGAACGCUGGCGGCGUGCUUAACACAUGCAAGUCGAACGGAAAGGCCCUGCUUUUGUGGGGUGCUCGAGUGGCGAACGGGUGAGUAACACGUGAGUAACCUGCCCUUGACUUUGGGAUAACUUCAGGAAACUGGGGCUAAUACCGGAUAGGAGCUCCUGCUGCAUGGUGGGGGUUGGAAAGUUUCGGCGGUUGGGGAUGGACUCGCGGCUUAUCAGCUUGUUGGUGGGGUAGUGGCUUACCAAGGCUUUGACGGGUAGCCGGCCUGAGAGGGUGACCGGCCACAUUGGGACUGAGAUACGGCCCAGACUCCUACGGGGGGCAGCAGUUGGGAAUAUUGCACAAUGGGCGGAAGCCUGAUGCCGCAACGCCGCGUGCGGGAUGACGGCCUUCGGGUUGUAAACCGCUUUCGCCUGUGACGAAGCGUGAGUGACGGUAAUGGGUAAAGAAGCACCGGCUAACUACGUG